rnacentral:lncRNA from 1 species
AUACAUAUUUAUAAUAUAAUACAAUCUCAAAGUUUUUCUGAGCAUAGCAUAAAAAUAUGCAUCAAUCUACGAGACCAUUAUCCAGGCUAAGAAAUUAUAUAUGAUCUGACUAUUAUUUGAGAAUACGUAUAACAUAUUUAUAGGAUGAAUAUUUAUUUGAUUCAAUCAAACUUGUACCCUCGAUAUAAUGUUAAAUGUGAAGAAACCACUAAGUUUGUUUGACUAUAUGUAAAUGGUGGUCAAGAACUUCAUUGGUUUUAUUUGUAGUUCCUAGAACAAUCAAUCUAAAUCAAAUCCAUCAUUUAAGUUUUUUUUUAAUAAUAAUAAUAAUAAUAACAACGACAAUAACAACAACAACAACAUAAAUAAAUAAAAAAUUUAGUCACUUCUAAAAUACUAUUGCUCCACUUACAUUUUCAUUUUGUCAAUUUGAACCGAUUUAUUUAACAUUUCCAAAUUGGCUAUGACAACACGCAACUGAACCACAUUUAUCUUCACAAUUAUCAAAAUCAUUAACAUUAUGUAUUUCUAUUUAAGACUUCUCUUAACAUAAUGAUUAUAAGAGCGUUUUUCUCCAAAGAAAGAGAAACCACAAGUCCCAUUUUGUCUCAUUGCAAUCGAAUCUCAGAUUUCCACCAUUUGAAAUGAAAAUAAAUAUAUCCAUAUAUCUUGUACAUAGAAGCCAUAGAUUUUAACCUGCUAAUUCUUCUCGUGUUACAUUAUUAUGGUCUGAAAGUGAAUUCAUCUGAAUAUGAACAAGCUGUCCUUAUUACUUGCACUCAUGAAACUGAAUAUAUGCUCUAAUGGAGCGCUUUACCAUCAAAUAUUUGUAGGCUUCUUCUCUUCUUCUUUUUCACAUUUUUUGUAAACAUAUUUGAUAAAGAUGAUCAAUGAUGGUCAUGGUCAUAGGGUGCGUUUGAGAUUGAUGUUAGACAAUUGUAACUUCUAAGGUACAGCACUAAAGUGUUUGGUAAACAUUAACUGUUGUACUUUGGAAACUAUAUUAAUGUGGUUUUUCACUUGUAUCAUGAAAAAUCUUUUAUAUCUUUAAAAAUUUUGUCAAAAUUAUUAUUUAAAAUUUAUAUUUACUAUAUAUUACUAACUUUUGUUUCAUAGUUAUAGUUUUUUUUUUUACAGCAACUGCAGCUUAAAAGUUAUAGCACCUCAAUCUCAAACGCACCCAAAAUCAUAAAUAUCAAAUAUUUUGAGGAAAAAUUCUUCCACACCCCCAAAGUUUGUUUAAGUGAUCAUAUAGAACUUCUUGGUUGUAUAAAUAGUCAUGUAGAACCCUUUUUGAUAAUCAUACCCUUUGACCAUAACAACUCAAAAUUGAAUUUACAUAAAAUUCUAUAGUAACUACAUUUAUAAUAUUUUAAUAUAUUAUCUAACAUAUAAA